rnacentral:lncRNA from 1 species
AUCUCAGAGUUUGAGAAGCUUUUGAAGGUCUUCUAGCUCCUGGUGUAUAAACUCUCUCUGUAAUUCUCUGCUUAAAUUUCUGAUGACAACGUCUUGAAUAUUCUAUAAGGAGACUUACCAAGGAUAUACUCCUGAUUGCCCAUGUCUGUCUUAGAAUGUGAUCCAAAAACUGAAAAAAACACUCCAGAGGAAAAAGGAAUAGUUAACUUUUCCUGGAAAAAUUAAUGCAACCUAAAAUUCCAGCAACUUCUUCGCCUGUUCUAAUGGCUUCACUUAGUACUUUGUGAUUCCUUUGCCUUUCCUCGAUACUCUUUCUUUAUAACAAAAAAGCAUACCACAAGUAGCCUGGAUUUUGAACUAAACUAAAAGACAGAAUGUAACCAAAAGCAGCAGGAGAGGAAAAAAGCGGCUGAUGCCAUGCAGUAGCAAAUGUGUCUGGGAACACUCAAAGAGACACUCCCUUAAGUACAACCGGUACAUCCAUCCAGAGCUCGGGAGCCCUUUAGGGCGAUGUGCAGAGCCAGCAGUUAUUGGUGGGUCCUAAAGGCAGAGAAGCACCGAGACUCCAAUUCACCUUUGGUCUGAAAAACACCAGCUGCAUGCAGAGCGCCAUCCAAGAGUAAGACAAGCAAACAAGAAAGCUCUGAAGUGAAAAUCCUGGUAAAUUACCAAAGGUAGCAAAACUAUUUAAUGACAGAAUUGGAAGCAGAACCUGGCAGUCUAGCCUCCCAAUCCAGUGCAAACAGAUCUGUGUAUUUCGACAACUUUUCAGGCUAUGGUUACCUAAAGAUUAUUUGUGAAGAGAUUUCUUGAAUUAAACACACGCUUUAAGUAUUUUCUACUUGUGAUUAUGUCUUUUAAUUAUGUCAGCAUGUUUUGUUUUUAUGAUUUUUACUUCUGAUAAAAUCUUACCGAAG